GUCGAGAAUCUUUCACAAUGGGGGCAACCCUGAUGGAGCGACGCCGCGUGGAGGAUAAGGUCUUCGGAUUGUAAACUCCUGUCAUGCGUGAACAAGGUUGCUUGGAUAAUACCUGAGCAAAUUGAUGGUAGCGCAAGAGGAAGAGACGGCUAACUCUGUGCCAGCAGCCGCGGUAAUACAGAGGUCUCAAGCGUUGUUCGGAAUCACUGGGCGUAAAGGGUGCGUAGGUGGCGUGGCAAGUCGGAUGUGAAAGCCCGGGGCUCAACCUCGGAACUGCAUCGGAUACUGCCAUGCUAGAGUACUGGAGGGGUGACUAGAAUUCUCGGUGUAGCAGUGAAAUGCGUAGAUAUCGAGAGGAAUACCAAAGGCGUAGGCAGGUCACUGGACAGUUACUGACACUGAGGCACGAAGGCCAGGGGAGCGAACGGGAUUAGAUACCCUGGUAGUCC
rnacentral:rRNA from 1 species